rnacentral:rRNA from 1 species
UACAGAGGGUGCGAGCGUUUAAUCGGAAUUACUGGGCGUAAAGCGCGCGUAGGCGGCUUUGCAAGUCGGGUGUGAAAUCCCCAGGCUUAACCUGGGAACUGCAUUCGAGACUGCAUUGCUAGAGUAUGGGGAGAGGGAAGUGGAAUUUCCGGUGUAGCGGUGAAAUGCGCAGAUAUCAGGAGGAACACCGGUGGCGAAGGCGGGUUGCUGGGCUGACACUGACGCUGAUGUGCGAAAGCUAGGGGAGCGAACGGG